GACGAACGCUGGCGGCGUGCUUAACACAUGCAAGUCGAACGGUGACGCGCCUUCCUUUUUGGUGGGUGUGGAUGAGUGGCGAACGGGUGAGUAACACGUUCGUAACCUGCCCUUUUCUUCUGGAUAACGGCAUGAAAGUGUGGCUAAUACGGGAUAUUCUGUGUCUGUCGCAUGAUGGGUCCUGGGAAGAUAGUGUUUCGGUGGGGGAUGGGCUCGCGGACUAUCAGGUUGUUGGUGGGGUGCUGGCCUACCAAGGCGGUGACGAGUAGCUGGCAUGAGAUGGUGAACCGCACCACAGCUGAUGAGACAUGGCGCAGACUACUGCAGGAGGCAGCAGUGGGUAUUAGAGCAUGGGGGGCAGAAGGCUGCUGCAGCGACGCCGCGUGAGGGAUGGAGUUCGUCUGGUUGAGAACCUCUUUCGCGAGUGAAGCAGAGCAGGCUCAUUUGUCGGUGUUUUGACGGUAGCUGAAGAAGAAGCGCCGGCUAACUACGUG
rnacentral:rRNA from 1 species